AACGAACGCUGGCAGCGUGGAUUAGGCAUGCAAGUCGAACGAGAUCCGGAGUGUAGCAAUAUAUUCCGGUGAAAGUGGCGGAAGGGUGCGUAACGCGUGGGUAACCUGCCUCCGAGUUGGGGACAACCCGCCGAAAGGCGGGCUAAUACCGAAUGUGAUGGUGCCGCGCAUGCGGCAUUGAUCAAAGACGGGGAACCGCAAGGUCCUGUCGCUUGGAGAGGGACCCGCGUCCUAUCAGCUUGUUGGUGAGGUAACGGCUCACCAAGGCUUACGGGUAGCUGGUCUGAGAGGAUGGUCAGCCACACUGGGACUGAGACACUGCCCAGACUCCUACGGGUGGCAG
rnacentral:rRNA from 1 species